UAGCCACAAAGCUAAGCCUCCAGUCCUAGAUACCAGUACUAGUGCUGCUCUCCCUACACUCGCUCCCCCCUACGUGCUAGAGAGAUGUCUCGUGCUCCUACGCUCGCUGCCGCUGCCGCGGUGGCGGCCGUCGUCCUCAUCUGCUCCUCCUCAACGGCUACCGCGGCGGACGGCAACGCGAGGCAGCCGCCGCUGGCCCCGGGCCUGUCCUUCGACUUCUACAAGCGCAGCUGCCCUAAGGCGGAGUCCAUCGUGCGGAGCUUCGUGCAGGACGCCGUGCGCAGGGACGUCGGCCUCGCCGCCGGCCUCCUCCGCCUCCACUUCCACGACUGCUUCGUGCAGGGCUGCGACGCCUCCGUGCUCCUCGACGGCUCCGCCACCGGGCCGGGAGAGCAGCAGGCGCCGCCCAACCUCACGCUGCGCCCCACCGCGUUCAAGGCCAUCAACGACAUCCACGACCGCCUCCACAAGGAGUGCGGCGGCACCGUCGUCUCCUGCUCCGACGUCCUCGCGCUCGCCGCACGGGAC
rnacentral:lncRNA from 1 species